GUYUUUUUGUUAAAAAUUUAAAGUCGGGCCUGCCCACUGAAAAUUUAAAUGGCCGUGGUAUUUUGACCGUGCUAAGGUAGCAUAAUCAUUAGUUUUUUAAUUGAAAGCUGGAAUGAAAGGUUUGAUAAAAAAAUGACUGUCUCUAUUUAAUUUUAUUAGAAAUUUAUUUUUAAGUUCAAAAGCUUAAUUUUAAUUAAAAGACGAGAAGACCCUAUAGAGUUUAAUAAUUUAAGAUAAUUUGUAUUUUAGAAUUAAUUUAUUUAUUUUUUAAUAUUAUUUAAUUGGGGUGAUUGAAAAAUUUAAUUAACUUUUUUUAUAUUUGACCAUUAAUUUAUGAUAAUUUGAUCCAAUUUUUUGAUUAUAAGAUAAAAUUACCUUAGGGAUAACAGCGUAAUUUUUUUAGAAAGUUCAAAUUAAAAGAAAAGAUUGCGACCUCGAUGUUGGAUUAAAAUUAAAUUUUGGUGUAGAAGCUAAAAAUUUAAGUCUGUUCGACUUUUAAAAUUUUACA
rnacentral:rRNA from 1 species